CGGGUGAGUAACACGUGGAUAACCUACCUAUAAGACUGGGAUAACUUCGGGAAACCGGAGCUAAUACCGGAUAAUAUUUUGAACCGCAUGGUUCAAAAGUGAAANACGGUCUUGCUGUCACUUAUAGAUGGAUCCGCGCUGCAUUAGCUAGUUGGUAAGGUAACGGCUUACCAAGGCAACGAUGCAUAGCCGACCUGAGAGGGUGAUCGGCCACACUGGAACUGAGACACGGUCCAGACUCCUACGGGAGGCAGCAGCU
rnacentral:rRNA from 1 species